rnacentral:rRNA from 1 species
CGGACGGGUGAGUAACGCGUGGGAAACCUGCCCUGUACCGGGGGAUAACACUUAGAAAUAGGUGCUAAUACCGCAUAAGCGCACAGCUUCACAUGAGGCAGUGUGAAAAGCUCCGGUGGUACAGGAUGGUCCCGCGUCUGAUUAGCCAGUUGGCAGGGUAACGGCCUACCAAAGCGACGAUCAGUAGCCGGCCUGAGAGGGUGAACGGCCACAUUGGGACUGAGACACGGCCCAA